GACGAACGCUGGCGGCGUGCCUAAUACAUGCAAGUCGAGCGGACGGAUGGGAGCUUGCUCCCAGACCGUCAGCGGCGGACGGGUGAGUAACACGUGGGCAACCUGCCUGUAAGACUGGGAUAACUCCGGGAAACCGGGGCUAAUACCGGAUAACUCUUUCCCUCACAUGAGGGAAGGCUGAAAGAUGGCAUCUCGCUAUCACUUACAGAUGGGCCCGCGGCGCAUUAGCUAGUUGGUGAGGUAACGGCUCACCAAGGCGACGAUGCGUAGCCGACCUGAGAGGGUGAUCGGCCACACUGGGACUGAGACACGGCCCAGACUCCUACGGGAGGCAGCAGUAGGGAAUCUUCCGCAAUGGACGAAAGUCUGACGGAGCAACGCCGCGUGAGUGAUGAAGGUUUUCGGAUCGUAAAACUCUGUUGUCAGGGAAGAACAAGUACCGGAGUAACUGCCGGUAACUUGACGGUACCUGACCAGAAAGCCACGGCUAACUACGUG
rnacentral:rRNA from 1 species